UACGUAGGUGGCGAGCGUUGUCCGGAUUUACUGGGCGUAAAGGGCGUGCAGGCGGUUCGUUAAGUCUAGGGUGAAAGCUCCCGGCUCAACUGGGAGAGGUCCCUGGAUACUGGCGGACUUGAGGGGGGUAGAGGAGAGUGGAAUUCUCGGUGUAGUGGUGAUAUGCGUAGAUAUCGAGAGGAACACCAGUGGCGAAGGCGGCUCUCUGGGCCCUACCUGACGCUGAGACGCGAAAGCGUGGGGAGCGAACCGGG
rnacentral:rRNA from 1 species